AUGAAAUACAAGGACGCUCUUUUUAGAGGUCCGACCUUUCAUUUUCCUUACACUGUGAACUAAAUUUUUACACCAUUUUUAAACGCAUGAGUCUAAGAAUGUCAAAAGUCUCUUAAUUGAGCAUAAAACUUGUAA
rnacentral:misc_RNA from 1 species